UGGGGAAUAUUGGACAAUGGGCGGAAGCCUGAUCCAGCCAUACCGCGUGUGUGAAGAAGGCCUUUUGGUUGUAAAGCACUUUAAGCGAGGAGGAGGCUACUUGGAUUAAUACUCUAGGAUAGUGGACGUUACUCGCAGAAUAAGCACCGGCUAACUCUGUGCCAGCAGCCGCGGUAAUACAGAGGGUGCGAGCGUUAAUCGGAUUUACUGGGCGUAAAGCGUGCGUAGGCGGCUUCUUAAGUCGGAUGUGAAAUCCCUGAGCUUAACUUAGGAAUUGCAUUCGAUACUGGGAAGCUAGAGUAUGGGAGAGGAUGGUAGAAUUCCAGGUGUAGCGGUGAAAUGCGUAGAGAUCUGGAGGAAUACCGAUGGCGAAGGCAGCCAUCUGGCCUAAUACUGACGCUGAGGUACGAAAGCAUGGGGAGCAAACAGG
rnacentral:rRNA from 1 species